ACCUCUCAGGCUCUCACGCCGCCGCCGCCGCCGCUCUCAACUACCCUUGCCCCUCGCCAGUUCUCCACAGCUUUUGUUUCCAGCAUUUGAAUUUGGAUCGGCGGUGUCUUUGUUCUUUGUAUCUUUCUUUUUUGGUCGCGGUUUUGGUUCUGAUGGGGAUUUGAGCUGCGCAUCUGGCUGAGGACGAUGAAGAUUGUAUCUAUUGGUCUCGUUCGUCGUAACAGGCAUUUGAUUGCCUUUGCCGACCAUCCUGAUAUAUCACCACCCAUAUUCCGAGUCCGCUCCCAACGGUCGUCAGUUUCUAUCAACUUUUUCAUUCCCUUUAGAUUUUGAUGUUUGAUUUAUUAUUAUAUUUCCUGGCCUAUGAUUAAAUUUUCAAAAAAAGACAAGCAUAUGUCCGAAUCCUUGUAUGUGGAUAAGCCUAAUCUUCUCUAUGAGGUCGAUCACGUAUUAUAAACUUUUAUGUGUCUUGAGAUUUCCAUUCCUUUGAGGCCAAAGAUGAAAUAUGUGGAUGCUAUUUCUGUAUGACGUCUCACGUCUGAUUACAAAACCCAUUACUGCCUUCCUUCUGAGGCCUCUGUUAAUUUGGAUCUUGUUAUUUUGUCCGUGUUUAUUUUCGCCGAGUCUGCGUUGUGGUCUGGUGGCAUUUUGGAUGAGGUCGGGUGAUGAGUUGCAUAGUUCAGAUGAUCAACCCUCGUGGUUCUGAUUACAUUGAGUAAUUAGUCUUUCGCUCCUAUCUGACGACCUUAUCAAUGCCACUCCGAUAUUAUAUACUUUCCGUUAACUGAUUUCGAUACACUAAUCUUUAUUGACGUCGUAUGUUACAUUCUCAGCCAGAUACUUUCGCCGCUUCAAAAUCCUGGCCAAGAGGUUCACGGCGCCGGCUCGCAUCCGUCCUUGCCCUGCUCGCCUAUGCUAGCACCUUUUCGUCUCAUAUGGCUGCACCUUGCUUAUCGUAGUUGAAAUGGUGCACGUGAUGUAUGCAUUGUAAUCCUAUUAAUUACACCUUGCUUCAGUUCA